rnacentral:rRNA from 1 species
UACGUAGCAGCGAGCGUUGUUCGGAGUUACUGGGCGUAAAGGGUGUGUAGGCGGUUUUCUAAGUUUGGUGUGAAAUCUCCCGGCUCAACCGGGAGGGUGCGCCGAAAACUGGGAGACUAGAGUGCGGGAUGGGAGAGUAGAAUUCCUGGUGUAGCGGUGAAAUGCGUAGAUAUCAGGAGGAAUACCGGUGGUGUAGACGGCUCUCUGGACCGCCACUGACGCUGAGACACGAAAGCGUGGGUAGCAAACAGG